GAAUCGGCCACCAAAAGGAGGAAAGUUGCUGAAGAAGAUGAUCAUGACAGUGAUGAUGAUACCAAAAGAAAUCAUGCGAAUGAGACUACAAACAACAGUGGUACUGGAAGGGGACGAGGUAGGGGUAGGGGUAGAGGCCGUGGAAGAGGUGCACGAGCAGUAGAGAAAGGUGACUACCAUGCUCACAGUGAGAAACUUGAAGACGCUGCUGCUGAUGUUUCACAUCAAAAGGAUGAUGAGAACCAAAAACAAAAUGAUGAAAGAAUGGUAGACUAUGUAGCAGAAUCAGCAGUAGAUUCAAAGAACAUUUCAGCUGCUAAAUGCUCCCCAGAAGUCGUUGCCCCUGCUAGAAACUUCGAUCUCAACAUAGACUUAAACGAGAGUGUGGAGUCCACACCAAUGCCAUCUGAAGUCCCUUUAUCAUCAACAGCAACACCAACAGCAACACCAGCACCAGCA
rnacentral:misc_RNA from 1 species